GCGAGCUGAAGAGGCGAGGGUGUGUUGGCCGGAGUUCUGGCUCAGCCUGGAAAGCGCGGAGAUGGCGGGGAACUCGUGUGCUACUCAGUGUUAAGGGGAGAAAUCUUCGCUCCGAAGACUUCUCAGUGCCUGCGGAGGCCCAUCCCAGGAAUAGGAGAUUAGAAGGACCGAGUGCUGGGAGCAUCGCAAAUUCGAGUCUGUGCCAACUGCAGCUUCUGAGACAGAGUACGGGGAAAGAGGGACCCUGUAAAUAUUGAGCUACCUCUUCCCACCUCACAUAAUUAGCAUGUGGAAUGUUCAGUGUGGUAAAUAAAUG
rnacentral:lncRNA from 1 species